rnacentral:rRNA from 1 species
CCUACGGAGGCAGCAGUAGGGAAUUUUCCGCAAUGGGCGAAAGCCUGACGGAGCAAUACCGCGUGAGGGAUGACUGCCUAUGGGUUGUAAACCUCUUUUUUCAGGGAGGAAUAAAUGACGUGUACCUGAAGAAUAAGCAUCGGCUAACUCCGUGCCAGCAGCCGCGGUAAGACGGAGGAUGCAAGUGUUAUCCGGAAUCACUGGGCGUAAAGCGUCUGUAGGUGGCUCAACAAGUCAACUGUUAAAUCUUGAAGCUCAACUUCAAAAUCGCAGUCGAAACUAUUGAACUAGAGUAUAGUAGAGGUAAAGGGAAUUUCCAGUGGAGCGGUGAAAUGCGUAGAGAUUGGAAAGAACACCAAUGGCGAAGGCACUUUACUGGGCUAUUACUGACACUCAGAGACGAAAGCUAGGGUAGCAAAUGGGAUUAGAUACCCCAGUAGUCCUAGCCGUAAACAAUGGAUACUAGGUGUUGAACAGAUCGACCUGUGCAGUACUAAAGCUAACGCGUUAAGUAUCCCGCCUGGGAAGUAUGCACGCAAGUGUGAAACUCAAAAGGAAUUGACGG